GACGAACGCUGGCGGCGUGCUUAACACAUGCAAGUCGAACGGAAAGGCCCUGCUUUUGUGGGGUGCUCGAGUGGCGAACGGGUGAGUAACACGUGAGUAACCUGCCCUUGACUUUGGGAUAACUUCAGGAAACUGGGGCUAAUACCGGAUAGGAGCUCCUUCUGCAUGGUGGGGGUUGGAAAGUUUCGGCGGUUGGGGAUGGACUCGCGGCUUAUCAGCUUGUUGGUGGGGUAGUGGCUUACCAAGGCUUUGACGGGUAGCCGGCCUGAGAGGGUGACCGGCCACAGUGGGACUGAGAUACGGCCCAGACUCCUACGGGAGGCAGCAGUGGGGAAUAUUGCACAAUGGGCGGAAGCCUGAUGCAGCAACGCCGCGUGAGGGAUGACGGCCUUCGGGUUGUAAACCGCUUUCGCCUGUGACGAAGCGUGAGUGACGGUAAUGGGUAAAGAAGCACCGGCUAACUACGUG
rnacentral:rRNA from 1 species